GCUUAGCCAUGGCUCUCGCCCACUGGACGCCCCAACAACCCCAGCUGCCUUGGAGGUGUGGGUCAGGCCCAGGAGACGGACCAGCAGACAGGGAGGGGGACCAGGCAGAGGGAGGUUGCUUGCAAAAGGCGGCUGUGUGGCUAGAGAGCCCUGAUGUCUGCUCCCUCGCCGUGCCUGUCUCCGUCUGUGUGUCCAUCCAUCGUCUGCACCAGGCCCUCGGCUGGUGUUUCUGCCACUGUGCUCUCAUUUUGGGUGAGACAAAUGACCUGGGCAAGUAGAAUGAUAAGAACUACAAACAGAGGAAAAUGCGCCUGGAAUGGAAGGGAAGGGAGGGCGCACGUGAGCUCUGUAAAUUGAUCAUGCGACACAGAGCAAACAGUGGUAUCGGAGCCGUGAAAGCACGGACAGCAGAGCCGUUUUCGGGGUCAGGGCAGAAGGUCAGCAGCCCCGCAUCUUGAGUGCAGAGCACUGCUGGGGGCAGGGCUGGGUCCUCAGCAUCUGACCCUGGGAGGUCACAGUCACCCCAAGUCCCAGUGAGUGGCAGGCCCACACCCUGAUGCCGGGGUGCCCACGUCCUCCUCUUGCCCCACUGCCACCGCCCACUGUGCGUCCUGGGGGGUUGUCACUUGUCCACCGCCCUUAGCAACCUGUUUUCCAUGGCACCAGGCCCAUCGGGCUCUCUGUGAUGUCGGGAGCGGGUGCAGGCAGGGAAAAGGUCGAGAGCAAACCAGAAUGAGGGUGGCAAAAGAAAUGGCUGGAAACUGUGCCUACAACAGGAGGAAUGUGAUGACCCCCGGCAGAGAGUCUGUGCUGACAGCCAUCAACAGCAACAAGUGAAAGAUCAGGGUACAGGGUGUUGGUCUGGUCUCUGAUGCACGUCCAGUAAAACAAAAGACGACCAGGAACUGAGACCAGAUGUCUGCCCCACCUGGAGAUGAGAUGGAGGCCCCACUGGAUUAGGUCUAUUUUUCAGGGACUGUUAAAAUUUGGGUUGUCUAUAAUUCUUAUCCUUCUGGUCCAGUAUUUGAUUAUAAAAUGUGACUUUAGAUGUGGUUCCAAAACUGUUGAGCAAGGUACAAAAUUCUACUGACGCAAAAUGUCAACCGGAAGCUGGGAACAAGAGAAUAUUUCCAAAUGAGUGCCGAGCAGUUUCAUUCCUCUAAGCAGGAUCCACGCCCCGAUUCAGCAGGAAGUGGCUGGAUUCCUCAUUGCCCGCAAUCCCUCAAGAAGAAGGAAUGAUCAAAGAAUAGUGGGAUUGAAACUGGCAAACAGCCAUUGAUGAUCAAGUAGCUAGGAACUAAAGGUUUUUUCCUUUCUGCAAUGACUGAUUACAGCUUUGAUCUGUUUAACGCACCCAUUGUUGACUGUGCUCCUUAGGCUAUGUGCCUUCUGACUCCCACCAGGCUCCUACAGACAACAGUUCCCUGGAGCCUGGGUCGCCAUGGUAAUGGGCGUGUGAGCUGUUCUUCAGGAAUUAGAGUCCCAUGUCCACUUCAGGCCGGUUGAGACCACCAACCCAUCAACUGGGCCCACGCAGAUGUCCGACAGGCAACCUUUUGACGUCAAGAGGCUAAAAAGUCCACCUCAGAUCAUGCUCAUGCCGCCAUUUUGUGAGCAUGGGUCGUAUGAAGAGGCACGGAGUGUGACCACGCUUGCGCGGACCAUCAAUCACCUCACCACUCCUCACCUCCAGUCACCUCUCCCCACAUUUCAGACCACCUUGCCCCCAUCCCAUAAACAUCCCUGAGUCCCUACUUCAGGGAAGUGGAUUUGAGACUCCUGCUCUCUCUUCCUCGGCUGGCUGCCUUGUGAGUAAACCCUCUCUCUGCUGCAAUCUCGUCGUCUUGGUUUGGUUUUCCGGGCGGUGGGCAGAAACAAACCUAGUGUGGUAACAAGUUGUGCCCUAAAGCAUUCAUGUGGAGAAGGAGCCCAGCGAGGCCCGGGGCAGCUGCGGAGGUCCUGCCAGCGGGGAAGUUGGGUGAUAAGGAGAAAGCCCGGCCCCCUUCAGAGGGAGAGGCAGCGACCUUCAGCAGAGCCUCCCUCGCCCCCUCUGUAAAAUGGGCGUAAAACCUGCUCAGAGGGCUUCCGGGGGACGGGAAGAGCCCAGGCCCCAGCCCAGAGCAGGGCUAACCGGGUGGGAGUUUCUUACAGACACUGAUAUGGAGUGAAUUGCGUCCCCCUCAAAUUCCUGCGUCCAAGUCCUAACUCGCGCUGUGACUGUCCUUGGAGCUGGGGCCUUUAAGGACGUGAUUCAGGUUAAAUGAGGUCAUAGGCGUGGGGCGCAGAUCUCACAGGGCUGGUGCCCUAUAAGCAGAGGGAGAGACAGCAGAGCUCUCCAGCUCCCUCGGAGGACAGGCCGCGUGAGGCCACGGCAGAGAAGGCAGCCCUGCACACGCCAGCGGGCAGUGCUCUCCAGAAACGCCCUGCCGGCCCUGGCACUCGGACUCGCGGCCCCCAGGCCCGUGAGACGAUGCAUCCUGCGCCUGAGCCCCGGGCUGCGGCUUCUCGCUAGGCAGCCCCUGGCUUGCAGGAUGCCACUCUGCACACCCUCGCUUUCAGCAAGGACGCCCGCCCUGAGCUGCGGCCCACACCUCGGUCAGUGACGAGACCCGCUAAAAACAGCCCGGCAGGCACGGCAGUGCCCUUCAGACGGACCCUGGCGGGAGACCAGGAGCCCUCGUUCCCGAUGACGCGUCACAAAGCUUCUGUAAGAAAGCAGGCCACACCGUCUGCCGCAGCUUUUAUUAUAUUCAUGUCUACAAAUUAAGCUUUUAAGAAAGAUUCACAAAAUAUGCAAUUGAAACCACAUUUCUGGUUCAUCAAAUUUCACAUAUAUUUUACUGUGAACAAUAUAUUCUAAUGCUGUCUAAAACACAGCCAAAUUAUUUUUCUUUAUUCAUUUAUACACAUUCUAUAAUUUUUUGAAAACCAAGAUUAAGAUAAAAAAAUAUUACAAAACUACCCAAUUACAACUACUAUUUUCCCAAAUACUGAGGUGUUUUCCGUGGUGCAUCUUCUCACCUUAUUCAUUUUUAAUUCUGUACACUAGAUCGAUUAAUAAAUGCACUUAGGGAGUUCUCUUACAUUUCUCAUAAAUUCAAACAGCAAUACCCGUCAAAAGAUUAAUCCCCCCGGUGAUGCAGAAGCUUAGGUUUGUUAAAAGCACUCACUGGAAAUUAUUUUGAAAUGUAUAAAUCAUAUAAGAUAAACAAUUUACAAAGGGACAGACGACUUGAAACAUUA